AACGCACGAGACCUGCGGACCUGCGGAGGGAUCAUUAGUGGACGCCCUCACGGGCUUAUAACUAUUCCAAACCUCUGUGAACCGUGCCCUUCGGGGCUAUUUUACAAACAUGGUGUAAUGAACGUCAUAUAUCAUAACAAAACAAAACUUUCAACAAUGGAUCUCU
rnacentral:misc_RNA from 1 species